rnacentral:tRNA from 6 species
GGGCCGAUAGCUCAGCUUGGCUGGAGCGUUCGACUGAUAAUCGAAAGGUCGUGGGUUCGAAUCCCAUUCGGCCCA